UACGAAGGGAGCUAGCGUUGUUCGGAAUUACUGGGCGUAAAGCGCGCGUAGGCGGCUUUGCAAGUCGGGUGUGAAAUCCCCAGGCUUAACCUGGGAACUGCAUUCGAGACUGCAUUGCUAGAGUAUGGGAGAGGGAAGUGGAAUUUCCGGUGUAGCGGUGAAAUGCGUAGAUAUCGGAAGGAACAUCAGUGGCGAAAGCGACUUCCUGGACCAAUACUGACGCUCAUGUGCGAAAGCGUGGGGAGCAAACAGG
rnacentral:rRNA from 1 species